GCUGGCAUGAACAUUUUAUCGAGUGUUCUUUGAAUCUGUCGAGAUGAGUGAAUAUGGCAUUUCACUGGAAAAAAGACUUAAAUCUUUUCUCGGUCGACGGCGGACUUAUUAUGAAGAUAGUGUUGAUGAAGAUACAGAAGAUGGCGAUAAUGAUAUAGAGAUAGACAAC